ACAUCGAAAGCUUGCUUUUGAUGGGCGUCGACCGGCGCACGGGUGAGUAACGCGUAUCCAACCUGCCCAUCACUUGGGGAUAACCUUGCGAAAGUAAGACUAAUACCCAAUGAUAUCUCUAGAAGACAUCUGAAAGAGAUUAAAGAUUUAUCGGUGAUGGAUGGGGAUGCGUCUGAUUAGCUUGUUGGCGGGGUAACGGCCCACCAAGGCAACGAUCAGUAGGGGUUCUGAGAGGAAGGUCCCCCACAUUGGAACUGAGACACGGUCCAAACUCCUACGGGAGGCAGCAGUGAGGAAUAUUGGUCAAUGGACGAGAGUCUGAACCAGCCAAGUAGCGUGCAGGAUGACGGCCCUAUGGGUUGUAAACUGCUUUUAUAAGGGAAUAAAGUGAGUCUCGUGAGACUUUUUGCAUGUACCUUAUGAAUAAGGACCGGCUAAUUCCGUGCCAGCAGCCGCGGUAAUACGGAAGGUCCGGGCGUUAUCCGGAUUUAUUGGGUUUAAAGGGAGCGUACGCCGGAGAUUAAGCGUGUUGUGAAAUGUAGACGCUCAACGUCUGCACUGCAGCGCGAACUGGUUUCCUUGAGUACGCACAAAGUGGGCGGAAUUCGUGGUGUAGCGGUGAAAUGCUUAGAUAUCACGAAGAACUCCGAUUGCGAAGCAGCUCACUGGAGCGCAACUGACGCUGAAGCUCGAAAGUGCGGGUAUCGAA
rnacentral:rRNA from 1 species